ensembl:lncRNA
CGGAAAUCAAAACGUAGUUACAAAAAAAAGUUUAGAAAUGCGGAAAUAAAAACGUAGUUAUAAAAAAAAGUUCCCCAAAAACGUCGAUACUGUGUUGAAGACGAGCAGCUGCUGAACCCAGCUAUCAAAAGCGUAUUCUCCGUAGUGUAAAUGUAACCGACUGAGUAGGCAUAGUUAUAUAGCUCCUGUCACCCAAUGGCAGGCCUUCAAUGUGUUAAGAAAAUAAUUGGAUAGGAUCGUUCUGAUCCGGAUACCACAAUAUCAAGGUCACAGAAUCCAGAUGUUCAGUGCUUUGAACAGACCUACACCUCGCCAUCUACUGGACAGAUGGAUACAAUAUACAACCUUCUCCAGCAGCACAGACUGGACACCUACCACCACAAAUUCCUCACUUUGGGUGUCCAAGACGAGAGAGAUUUCACCGAUAGUGUAAAUGGUGAAGAUUUAGACAAAAUGGGUUUCAGUCAAGUAGAGAAGAAUCGCUUUGAAAAAAUGAAAGAUUUCAUCCAAAGACACAGAGCGCCACAGCAAGCGAUGCCUGUACAAAAACCAAUGGAGUCUUUCCAACUGUGGUACACAUACCCCCACUGUCCUGAGCUAAAAGAGAUCAGAGACAUGGAUCCUGCUACCAACACCGUUGAAGACCUGAUGCUAAGGAUCUGCCACCAAGAGGGCAUUGAGAACUCUAAAACUGUGUGCCUCUACACAGUUGAUGGAAUGCCUCUAACUGAUGAUCCUUUCUUCAACACAUGGUCUUUGAAAGACAGGCACAUUGAAAUUGGAAGUGAGCUCUAUGCCAUGUUUACACCCAAGGAGAACUUGAGACCAGCCCUGCUAGUGACACUACAAGAAAUGACUGACAUGACAGGAGAGGAUAAUGUUCGAUGCCACAUCAUGCUCAAGGGAGACUUUGAGGUCAAGGUGGACUUGGCAAGUGACACAUUACGAGAUCUGAGACAGAAGCUCUCUGAUGAAAGUGGAAUCCCAGCACAUGUCCUCCAUUAUAAAUGUGAACGAUGUGGAGUUGGACAGACUUUGCUAGAUUGUGGAAUCAAUGAGGAGUCAACUGUGGUCUUUUCUCUGUCCUCCUUCCCUGAUGAGCGUCCAGACACUAUGGAAUUCUACUUCAAUGAUGUCGUACCCUCAGUGCAACAAUCCCAGAAAGGACUCAGUGCUUUCUUUUCUUCACUUUAUGCCAUUAACAAUAGAGAACACCGUUCUGGAGAUGUAUUAAGCAAAGUGAUUGCAUACAUCCGAAAGCUCAGUGGGUGCAAUCCUUUGGCCCAAAGUCUGCAUCAGCUGUUGUAUAGAAAUGAGGUUGGAACAAGGACCCAGAAGGUUGCUAUCGUUGAAGGAUUGUACAAUCUCUUCAGAGAGCUGUUGCCAAGCUUCCACAAAAGAAGAGGUGACAAAAUCAUUGAAGACUCAGAUGUUUUUGAGAAUGCACCAGUGUGCUGGGCCUACCUGUUAUCUGAAGCAAAGAAAGAGAGUUCACAACAUGAGGUCUAUGUACCAAUAGUCUUGAACUCUCAACCUGGAGAACGUUUCUGCGACCCAGUUCGAGUACCUGGGUUACCAGAUGUCUUUGAGAGAGAGUAUGUUCUGCAGAAAAUCAAAGAUGGAGAGAAAAUCCCAAACUGCUCUGUGGAGAUCCUGACAGAUACUUCAAUGUCUAGAGCCUCUGAUGUUGAAAAGAUUUUGCUCAGUCUGCCUCCAUUCAUCAAAACAUUCCCUAAGUGGGCUUCAUCUGGACUUGUGACUGGCCAAAAUUUUCAGAUUGUUCUCGAUGACACAUUUGCCAAGAUGAACGAAGAAGUGAAAGAAUACGUUAAUCUGACAGUGACUCCAGCAUUACAGUUGAAGGAUGUUGGAGUAUAUGGGCCACGUCUCGUCUUCUUG